GCCUUGGUAGCUCAAUUGGCUAGAGCGUGGGACUUUUAAAAAAAUAAAAAAAACCGGACUCUCCGGACUAUAGAGGUAUCCCAAGGUUGCGGGUUCGACCCCCGCCUGAGGCG